GACGAACGCUGGCGGCGUGCUUAACACAUGCAAGUCGAACGGAAAGGCCCUGCUUUUGUGGGGUGCUCGGGUGGCGAACGGGUGAGUAACACGUGAGUAACCUGCCCUUGACUUUGGGAUAACUUCAGGAAACUGGGGCUAAUACCGGAUAGGAGCCCCCGCUGCGUGGUGGGGGUUGGAAAGUUUCGGCGGUUGGGGAUGGACUCGCGGCUUAUCAGCUUGUUGGUGGGGUAGUGGCUUACCAAGGCUUUGACGGGUAGCCGGCCUGAGAGGGUGACCGGCCACAUUGGGACUGAGAUACGGCACAGACUCCUACGGGAGGCAGCAGUGGGGAAUAUUGCACAAUGGGCGGAAGCCUGAUGCAGCAACGCCGCGUGCGGGAUGACGGCCUUCGGGUUGUAAACCGCUUUCGCCUGUGACGAAGCGUGAGUGACGGUAAUGGGUAAAGAAGCACCGGCUAACUACGUG
rnacentral:rRNA from 1 species